GAUGAAGAACGUAGCGAAAUGCGAUAAGUAAUGUGAAUUGCAGAAUUCAGUGAAUCAUCGAAUCUUUGAACGCACAUUGCGCCCGCCAGUAUUCUGGCGGGCAUGCCUGUUCGAGCGUCAUUUCAACCCUCAAGCCCCCGGGCUUGGUGUUGGGGAUCGGCGAGCCUCCGCGCCCGCCGUCCCCUAAAUCUAGUGGCGGUCUCGCUGUAGCUUCCUCUGCGUAGUAGCACACCUCGCACUGGGAAACAGCGCGGCCACGCCGUUAAACCCCCAACUUCUGAACGUUUGACCUCGGAUCAGGUAGGAAUACCCGCUGAACUUAAGCAUAUCAAUAAGCGGAGGA
rnacentral:misc_RNA from 1 species